GCAGACGUGGCGCAGUCGGUAGCGCGCAACGCUUCCACCGUUGAGGUCGAGGGUUCGAUCCCCUCCGUCUGCUCCA
rnacentral:tRNA from 1 species